rnacentral:rRNA from 1 species
AUUAAACGCUGGCGGCAUGCCUUACACAUGCAAGUCGAACGGCAGCACGGGGGCAACCCUGGUGGCGAGUGGCGAACGGGUGAGUAAAGCAUCGGAACGUGCCCUGGAGUGGGGGAUAACGUAGCGAAAGUUACGCUAAUACCGCAUAUUCUGUGAGCAGGAAAGCAGGGGAUCGCAAGACCUUGCGCUUUGGGAGCGGCCGAUGUCGGAUUAGCUAGUUGGUGGGGUAAAGGCCUACCAAGGCGACGAUCCGUAGCGGGUCUGAGAGGAUGAUCCGCCACACUGGGACUGAGACACGGCCCAGACUCCUACGGGAGGCAGCAGUGGGGAAUUUUGGACAAUGGGCGCAAGCCUGAUCCAGCCAUGCCGCGUGAGUGAAGAAGGCCUUCGGGUUGU